GGGGAAAGUGGUCUUCACAAGUCACGAAAAAGGCAAAAGGCACCAGCUAGAAGAAAAAACUCGGCGAACGAACCUUACAGUGGGUUUGUUAGCUGUCACUUCUGGGAGUAAAUCACAAGCAAACGAUCAUGCUAAAAAUGCCCCGGCUGAUCCUUUGAAAACGACAACCCGGCAAACACCGUGGCAGCAAAUAUUCUUUCUUACUCCAGCAAUAUUGUUAGGCAGAGUAG